rnacentral:lncRNA from 1 species
CUGCCGGAGACUCGGGAGGCUGAGCUUUCCUCGGCCUGAGCCAGCCAGACCCCGGGCACCGCGCUCACCCCUCUUCGCCGCCACGUCCGCGAAGGCCUCACGCGCGAGGCCAGGCGAGGCCCCGAGGCGCCCACCACUUCACGACACCGGAGCGAACCGGGCGCCAGAGGCUGCGACCCCCCUGCCCCGAAUCCUGCCGGUGGGAGUGGCUGCAUUUGAACCAAACGGCCUUCGCGGGCAGCAGCCGUCGCCCCGCAGUCCCGGGGCUCCCAAGGGCCUGUGACCGACGCCGCCCUCCGCGUCUUCGUCCCCGAAGCCCCGGGAACCAUCCGCCCUCGGGAGACCAUGCUGCAGAUGCGAGGAAAGCCGUUUCCUGGAACAUCGGAAUUCUAACCCCAGGGUGAAGGACUCACGACAGGCGAGGGGCAGACAUGCUGAAUUCCACGGGCGAACUGGAGUUUUCGAACGAAGAAGAUCCCGAGAUCAUCUCCCAACUCACUUCCCUGCCUCUGUCCGGUGGGAAAAGCUCAGCUGGUGUGCCCGAAAAAACGGGCUAUCCGGACUCCGUUUAUGUCAUGGCAGCCAACAUUUUUCAGGGUAUUCGAAUCGAAAAGUCGGCACAGAAAGUCUUAAUCAAGUAUGGGAAUGAACCCCUGCGGUCCUUGUCCGAGUCUGAGGAUCAGUCCUUUCAGCGUUUGUCUUAUGAGCUGGCUUUCAGUGCCCUGAAAUGUGAGUUGUGCCAGUCUGGAAGAUCAACACUAAAAGAAAAUAAUAGCGAGAGAAUUUGGGGAAUGCAGCCCUCCUCCUCCCUUCCCCUCAUUCACACCAGGUUUUGGUUUUAGGCAUGUGCAUAUCUUUGGUUAAUUGCAAGUGUCAAGGAAUUAGGGUUCCCAUGAAACUAGCUCUUCCAGCCCAGGAUUGCAGAUUUCCCCGUGCACUGUGUUUGUCCUUAGAUCGGUGUAGUGCGCGGUCAUUACAUUCAACAAGGAAACAAUUUAUUCCAAUGAUCAUUUCCCUCUCCCUGUAUUUUUUUUUCCCUCGUAGACUUAGGGGUCUCGCUUUAUUGUCUGGGCUGGUCUCAAACUCUGGACCUCAAGGAAUCCUCCCUCUUCAGCUUCCCAAAGUGCUGGGAUUACAGGCAGUGAGCCACCACGCCUGGCCUCCCUGUGUAUUUCUUUCCAUUCCCUGUGUUUACCUUUUUUGGUAUUUUAGUUUAUGAGCUUUCACAAAUAUAAAACCAGUGAGGGAGGAUGGGGAGAGGAACAGAGACGGAAU